UACGGAGGGAGCUAGCGUUGUUCGGAAUUACUGGGCGUAAAGCGCACGUAGGCGGCUUUGUAAGUUAGAGGUGAAAGCCCGGGGCUCAACUCCGGAACUGCCUUUAAGACUGCAUCGCUUGAAUCCAGGAGAGGUGAGUGGAAUUCCGAGUGUAGAGGUGAAAAUUCGUAGAUAUUCGGAAGAACACCAGUGGCGAAGGCGACUUACUGGACACAUAUUGACGCUGAGGUGCGAAAGCGUGGGGAGCGAACAGG
rnacentral:rRNA from 1 species